rnacentral:rRNA from 1 species
AUUGAACGCUGGCGGCAGGCCUAACACAUGCAAGUCGAGCGGUAGCACAGAGAGCUUGCUCUCGGGUGACGAGCGGCGGACGGGUGAGUAAUGUCUGGGAAACUGCCUGAUGGAGGGGGAUAACUACUGGAAACGGUAGCUAAUACCGCAUAACGUCGCAAGACCAAAGUGGGGGACCUUCGGGCCUCAUGCCAUCAGAUGUGCCCAGAUAGGAUUAGCUAGUAGGUGGGGUAAUGGCUCACCUAGGCGACGAUCCCUAGCUGGUCUGAGAGGAUGACCAGCCACACUGGAACUGAGACACGGUCCAGACUCCUACGGGAGGCAGCAGUGGGGAAUAUUGCACAAUGGGCGCAAGCCUGAUGCAGCCAUGCCGCGUGUGUGAAGAAGGCCUUCGGGUUGUAAAGUACUUUCAGCGGGGAGGAAGGCGAUAAGGUUAAUAACCUCAUCGAUUGACGUUACCCGCAGAAGAAGCACCGGCUAACUCCGUGCCAGCAGCCGCGGUAAUACGGAGGGUGCAAGCGUUAAUCGGAAUUACUGGGCGUAAAGCGCACGCAGGCGGCCUGUCAAGUCGGAUGUGAAAUCCCCGGGCUCAACCUGGGAACUGCAUUCGAAACUGGCAGGCUAGAGUCUUGUAGAGGGGGGUAGAAUUCCAGGUGUAGCGGUGAAAUGCGUAGAGAUCUGGAGGAAUACCGGUGGCGAAGGCGGCCCCCUGGACAAAGACUGACGCUCAGGUGCGAAAGCGUGGGGAGCAAACAGGAUUAGAUACCCUGGUAGUCCACGCCGUAAACGAUGUCGAUUUGGAGGUUGUGCCCUUGAGGCGUGGCUUCCGGAGCUAACGCGUUAAAUCGACCGCCUGGGGAGUACGGCCGCAAGGUUAAAACUCAAAUGAAUUGACGGGGGCCCGCAUAAGCGGUGGAGCAUGUGGUUUAAUUCGAUGCAACGCGAAGAACCUUACCUGGUCUUGACAUCCACAGAACUUUCCAGAGAUGGAUUGGUGCCUUCGGGAACUGUGAGACAGGUGCUGCAUGGCUGUCGUCAGCUCGUGUUGUGAAAUGUUGGGUUAAGUCCCGCAACGAGCGCAACCCUUAUCCUUUGUUGCCAGCGGUCCGGCCGGGAACUCAAAGGAGACUGCCAGUGAUAAACUGGAGGAAGGUGGGGAUGACGUCAAGUCGUCAUGGCCCUUACGACCAGGGCUACACACGUGCUACAAUGGCAUAUACAAAGAGAAGCGACCUCGCGAGAGCAAGCGGACCUCAUAAAGUAUGUCGUAGUCCGGAUUGGAGUCUGCAACUCGACUCCAUGAAGUCGGAAUCGCUAGUAAUCGUAGAUCAGAAUGCUACGGUGAAUACGUUCCCGGGCCU